rnacentral:tRNA from 1 species
GGAGAGAUGACCGAGCGGCCGAAGGUGCACGAUUGGAAAUCGUGUGUACCCGAGAGGGUACCAAGGGUUCGAAUCCCUUUCUCUCCG